rnacentral:rRNA from 1 species
AAGUGGAGCAAUCCAUGAGUACAGUGGCGUACGGGUGAGUAACACGUGGAUCAUCUACCUUUUAGUGGGGAAUACCCCCGGGAAACUGGGGAUAAUACCGCAUAAUCUCGUGAGAGGAAAGCAGCAAUGCGCUGAAAGAGGAGUCCGCGGCUGAUUAGCUAGUUGGUGAGGUAAUGGCUCACCAAGGCGAAGAUCGGUAGCCGGCCUGAGAGGGCACACGGCCACACUGGCACUGAAACACGGGCCAGACUCCUACGGGAGGCAGCAGUGGGGAAUCUUGCACAAUGGAGGAAACUCCGAUGCAGCGACGCCGCGUGAGCGACGAAGCCCUUCGGG